AGCUGAACUCGAUAAUCGAGGAACUGCGAAUGAAUUACUCUGUUUUACAGGACAAAUUCACGAAAGAAGAGGCCGAGAAGUUGGCUGCAAUUGAAGCCUUUUUUUUUUGAAACGUACAAUUGAAGCCUUAGUGGCCGAGAAGAAUUCCAGGAUGACAGCCGAAAGAUCGCAGGCAGCCCUCACUGAAGAUCUUGAAAAAGCUUUAAGAGAUAAUUCGAGCUCGAAUCAGAAGUUUCGUUUCCAAGGGCGAUCCCGCUGGUACAAUCGUCAUAUUUUACACUCGAUUUCUGCUUACAAGGAAUGAAUGUUUCCCCUUUACGCUCAUGAGCGGAUUCGAGUAAAUAUCACUGGGAUUGCUCUUGGAAUUAAUGUGCUUCCAGGCUCCAUCCUCAUAAUCUUCUCAUGCUUCAACCUCAACUUAAGCAAAUUCAGGAGGAAGAGUGGAGUAUCUUCCAGGCUUCCAAGGACCCCUCCCUUACAGCCAUAAAUAUAAACACACACCUUGAUUUUAACAUGAAAUUGCAACUCGAAGGCACAUUCAUUAUUAUUGAACUAAACCAACUUUGAUAAACCAUAAAAAGAAACAUUCGAAUAACCAAAAUGUAUGGAAAUAUGAUGUUACAUGU